rnacentral:rRNA from 1 species
CACAACUCUUGAAGCGACGUCCAGUUUCUCUGUACCUAGGAACUGUUUGUCUCAAACCACCUACACGUCGGAAAACAGUAAGACCACAUAAAAGUAACGUUUAUUGUUCUUCCGUUAGAGUUGAACAAGUAACUAGAGAAGGUCUGGUACCAAGUAUGUAGAUACUAACGUUGACGGUUAAUUUUGUUAUACUGCAUGUUAUUAUGUCCAACGUGUAGACUAUGACUUCAAAGUACCAAGGUCUGUCUCCAUACGUUGUAUUUGUGAACUCGUCAGGAAGAAAAACAAAGAGUUUAAAAGUAGGUAAUAAACAAUAGACUAUGACUUCAAAGUACCAAGGUCCCCUACGGUUUAAAGAUAUCAAUGAAUAAAAGAGUUAGGUUUUCUGUAUGGAAGUCAUAUAACAUGAGGGAGGCAGGGUUUUAUUCACAGAGUUGUAAUCAUGUUCAAUCAUGUUUCAACUCGGUGACUAAAACCCUGUACCCCUCAUAUAUAUUGAUUAACAGAUCUUGAUAAAAACGAAAAACAUUUCUUCGUCACGUAUGGUACAGUAUUAACUCUACUACCAAAGUAUAACCUUUAUAUACCACGUAAGUAUGUUCUCGGGUACGACCCGUCUGAAUAAAGAGGCACCGUACCCAAAUUUACAUCAUUGAACACAAAUACGAAAUGAAAGGCCACGAAUCGUCACGGGAACAGUUCAUAUAUCCCUGCCUUUUACGAUAAGUAGUACUGUUAGAAUCCGCUACAAGUCGUUUUUAACUCCGUGAUAUGGCUGAUUUACAAGUCCGAAAGAGGUUUGUCGCCUCUAAGUUCCACUAAUUAUCAGUUUAUCUUGAAGAGAGGUAAGCACAGAUUUCUCUUCCAUAUUCACUACCAGCCGGACCACUACUCCCGUAGUUCUGUUUCACUAAUUAAGCGUUGAGACAAGAACUAACCAAAAAUGUUUAUGUGUUCCAUGAUGGCAAAGGAAGAUACAAAUUUACCGAAACACUCGUGUUGAUAAACCUUUAAGACGCUAAGUACCACCUUCGUUCGUAGAAACAAAAGGGCCGGCUUUUAUGAAUCAAAGUAUCUAAAAGACUCAGCUGGUAAAGAAUCUAAAAGACUCAAGUCUCGACUUAACUCGUAAAGAAUCUAAAGGACUCAAGUCUCGAAAAUAAUAGAGAAGCCAUUAGACAUCUUCAAAUGAAAAGGACACCGCAGGUAAGUAAAGCUUUCGAUAAACGUACGUGUGACCGUACAGUAACAAACACACGGGGGAAUGACGAAGAAUGAGGUAAAUAUUCACCACUUUUUAUAAAAGGGCUCAACUUAAAAUACAUACUUCGGAGAACAACUUUCCGGAAGAAGAUAACAUAUGACUGCAAACGUAACGUACUAUUUCGAUAUAGUUGUGACGAGAAACAAAACAACAAGUGAAAACAUAAAGGGAAACCUUUACUGUUUUCACCCCAAAAGAAAACAUCGAACGACCUAAAGAAUCAAUCCCCUUCAACAAAUUAUUUACUAUAACGGUCAUAAAACGGAUGUACCGAUUUCUUCUUUGGUUUGGUUCCUUUUAGACCUAAAAAAAAUAUCAUAGGGUGUAUUACGUUUUGUUAGCUAGGUCUAAAAUGUGUAUUGAACUAAGUAAGCACAAAACAAAUAAACACAAGACCAUGAUCGUGUCAACCACUGAAUUCGAAGUAGUUAUAGUCUACAAGAAAAAAAGAACGAACGUGUCAACCACUGAACUCGAAGUAGUUAUAGUCAACAAAAAAAGUAAGCAUUUGUCUCAUCGUAGUGUGCUCAAGGUUCAAAAUACCGUCCAAUAACAUUACAUAGAAGUCUCUACAUGUAAUCUCUUUAACAGUCGGUUGUUAACUUAAUCCAUAUGUAC